rnacentral:rRNA from 1 species
AACGAACGCUGGCGGCAGGCCUAACACAUGCAAGUCGAGCGCCCGCAAGGGAGGCGGCGGACGGGUGAGUAACACGUGGGAAUUUUCCUCAAGGUACGGAACAACUCAGGGAAACUUGGGCUAAUACCGUAUGAUGCAGAGAUGCCAAAGAUUUAUCGCCUUGGGAUAAGCCCGCGUCAGAUUAGGUAGUUGGUGGGGUAAUGGCCUACCAAGCCUGUGAUCUGUAGCUGGUCUGAGAGGACGAUCAGCCACAUUGGGACUGAGACACGGCCCAAACUCCUACGGGAGGCAGCAGUGGGGAAUCUUGCGCAAUGGACGAAAGUCUGACGCAGCCAUGCCGCGUGAAUGAUGAAGGUCUUAGGAUUGUAAAGUUCUUUAGCCUGUGACGAUGAUGACGGUAACAGGAGAAUAAGCCCCGGCUAACUUCGUG